rnacentral:rRNA from 1 species
GGACCCGCACAAGCGGUGGAUGAUGUGGUUUAAUUCGAUGCAACGCGAAAAACCUUACCCACCUUUGACAUGUACGGAAGAUCGCAGAGACGCGAUUGUGCUCGAAAGAGAGCCGUAACACAGGUGCUGCAUGGCUGUCGUCAGCUCGUGUCGUGAGAUGUUGGGUUAAGUCCCGCAACGAGCGCAACCCUUGCCAUUAGUUGCUACGAAAGGGCACUCUAAUGGGACUGCCGGUGACAAACCGGAGGAAGGUGGGGAUGACGUCAAGUCCUCAUGGCCCUUAUAGGUGGGGCUACACACGUCAUACAAUGGCUGGUACAAAGGGUUGCCAACCCGCGAGGGGGAGCCAAUCCCACAAAGCCAGUCGUAGUCCGGAUCGCAGUCUGCAACUCGACUGCGUGAAGUCGGAAUCGCUAGUAAUCGUGGAUCAGAAUGUCACGGUGAAUACGUUCCCGGGUCUUGUACACACCGCCCGUCACACCAUGGGAGCGGGUUCUGCCAGAAGUAGGUAGCCUAACCGCAAGGAGGGCGCUUACCACGGCAGGGUUCGUGACUGGGGUGAAGUCGUAACAAGGUAGCCGUAUCGGAAGGUGCGGCU